rnacentral:rRNA from 1 species
UAGUAACGGCGAGUGAAGCGGGAUGAGCUCAAAUUUAAAAUCUGGCUGGUUUACUAGUCCGAAUUGUAGUUUAUAGAAGCGUUUUCGGUGGCAGCCUGGGUAUAAAUCCUUUGGAAUAGGGUAUCAUAGAGGGUGAGAAUCCCGUCUUUGACUCAGUGCAUGCGACUAUGUGAUACGUUUUCAAAGAGUCGAGUUGUUUGGGAAUGCAGCUCAAAAUGGGUGGUAAAUUUCAUCUAAAGCUAAAUAUUGGCGAGAGACCGAUAGCGAACAAGUACCGUGAGGGAAAGAUGAAAAGAACUUUGAAAAGAGAGUUAAACAGUGCGUGAAAUUGUUGAAAGGGAAACGCUUGACACCAGUUAUGCGGGUGGAAAAUCAGUCUUUUGCAGUGGGGGGAUGUGGGCGUUCAGACCGCAAGGCUGGCGUUUGCUUCAUCUUUGCUGUAAGUGAUGCACUUUUUCAUUUGCAGGUCAACAUCAGUUUGUUUUGCUGGACAAAACCCCAAGGGAAGGUGACAGCUUAGGCUGUGUUAUAGCCCUGGGGCGAUACAGUGGAGCGGACUGAGGUUUUCGCAGUGUGUGCUUUCGGGCAAGGCUGACUGGGUGCUAUGGGAUCGUUCGGCGUACAAUGCUUGCAUUUUGCGUCGUGUCCUUUUCAUACUCGCUCAACUCGGCUCUUCCACACUUAGGAUGUUGACUUAAUGGUUUUAAUCGACCCGUCUUGAAACACGGACCAAGGAGUCUAACAUAUAUGCAAGUGUUUGGGUGGCAAACCCAUGCGCGUAAUGAAAGUGAACGUAGGUGCGAUCCGCAAGGUGCAGCAUCGACCGAUCUUGAUAUUUUUGGAUAGAUUUGAGUAAGAGCAUAUAUGCUGGGACCCGAAAGAUGGUGAACUAUGCCUGAAUAGGGUGAAGCCAGAGGAAACUCUGGUGGAGGCUCGUAGCGAUUCUGACGUGCAAAUCGAUCGUCAAAUUUGGGUAUAGGGGCGAAAGACUAAUCGAA